rnacentral:rRNA from 1 species
AGCAGUAGCCGCGGGAAUACAGAGGGUGCGAGCGUUAAUCGGAUUUACUGGGCGUAAAGCGUGCGUAGGCGGCUUCUUAAGUCGGAUGUGAAAUCCCUGAGCUUAACUUAGGAAUUGCAUUCGAUACUGGGAAGCUAGAGUAUGGGAGAGGAUGGUAGAAUUCCAGGUGUAGCGGUGAAAUGCGUAGAGAUCUGGAGGAAUACCGAUGGCGAAGGCAGCCAUCUGGCCUAAUACUGACGCUGAGGUACGAAAGCAUGGGGAGCAAACAGGAUUAGAUACCCCCGUAGUCCCUGUCUCUUAUAA